rnacentral:rRNA from 1 species
AUCCAGACUCCUACGGGAGGCAGCAGUGGGGAAUAUUGCACAAUGGGGGAAACCCUGAUGCAGCGACGCCGCGUGAGCGAAGAAGUAUUUCGGUAUGUAAAGCUCUAUCAGCAGGGAAGAAAUUGACGGUACCUGAGUAAGAAGCUCCGGCUAAAUACGUGCCAGCAGCCGCGGUAAUACGUAUGGAGCAAGCGUUAUCCGGAUUUACUGGGUGUAAAGGGAGCGUAGGCGGCCUGCCAAGUCUGAUGUGAAAUGCCGGGGCUCAACCCCGGGGCUGCAUUGGAAACUGACAGGCUGGAGUGUCGGAGAGGCAGGCGGAAUUCCUAGUGUAGCGGUGAAAUGCGUAGAUAUUAGGAGGAACACCGGUGGCGAAGGCGGUCUGCUGGACAGCAACUGACGCUGAGGCGCGAAAGCGUGGGGAGCAAACAGGAUUAGAUACCCCCGUAAAC